GUCUAUUGCCAGUGAUCAGCACCUCAUUAUAAUUCUUGGUGUCCAUUACUUUUAUAUUUUAGAAGAUAAAAGUCAUAACAUUGAUGAGCAUAUUCUCUAAUAUAUCUGACAGCGGCAUUUUCCAAAAGCAUAUUACAACAGCUUUCCCUUCAGUCACCUCAUAGAGCUGAAAAAUACACCAAAGUGCUGACAAAACUCCACGUGUUUGAAAACAAGUUAAAGAGCACACAGGCACCAGCCCUUUAAAUGGCUGUAAAGAUAAGGACUCUAAAUGGUGACCUCACCACCUUCAGUCUCUUAUCACAACAGACUUGUUGCAGGGAGGCCAGUGUCGAGGGAAGAUUACGCCACUACUGAGAGUCUCCACCCAGACAUCUGGUUUGUCUCUGCAGAACGCUUCCAGGCAACCCACCAUCAUCACUGCUCGUAGCUGAAGAAAACGUGCACAGUGUUUCCCCUCUAUGAUUUACUCACAAGUAAAUGAGAGCAUAAAAAGACUCUGUGUCGCUGAGAGAGUGGGAGAGUUAUGGGCCAGUGGCUCACAUGCUGCCUGAGCCCCUCUGGACCCUUGGGGGACCAGGGGGCUCACCACGAUGUCUUUAGCCUCCGAACUGUUACACUAUUUAUGGACUCUCCUGGGUGUGCAUGUGCCUGUGAUUUAUGGCUCUCCAUCUGGUGCCGCGGGGACAUUGUUGUCAAUACUUGGGACGCGGAGUUAAAGAUGGAGUGGCUGGAAUUGUGUGGAUCAGUGUGUAAUUCUGAACAUUAGGCUCCCUUUAUCACAUUUACUGUCCUUUUAAACUGCUGUGUGGACAUUUGUCAGUUUACAUGAGAGUGAAAGGAAAGGAGUGAGGAAAAAUGAGCCUGAAGAGAUAAAUGUUUUUGUCACUUUUAUGGACUUUUUUUUUUUAAACUAAAAAAGUUGUUGAUAAGUUUGCUGCCUUUAUCACAAAAGUGCAAUACAAAGUGCUUUAAUGCAUUAAAAACGUUAAAGCUGUA